rnacentral:rRNA from 1 species
GGCUUCGGCCUGGUUAUUCAUAACCCUUUGUUGUCCGACUCUGUUGCCUCCGGGGCGACCCUGCCUUCGGGCGGGGGCUCCGGGUGGACACUUCAAACUCUUGCGUAACUUUGCAGUCUGAGUAAACUUAAUUAAUAAAUUAAAACUUUUAACAACGGAUCUCUUGGUUCUGGCAUCGAUGAAGAACGCAGCGAAAUGCGAUAAGUAAUGUGAAUUGCAGAAUUCAGUGAAUCAUCGAAUCUUUGAACGCACAUUGCGCCCCCUGGUAUUCCGGGGGGCAUGCCUGUUCGAGCGUCAUUUCACCACUCAAGCCUCGCUUGGUAUUGGGCAACGCGGUCCGCCGCGUGCCUCAAAUCGUCCGGCUGGGUCUUCUGUCCCCUAAGCGUUGUGGAAACUAUUCGCUAAAGGGUGUUCGGGAGGCUACGCCGUAAAACAACCCCAUUUCUAAGGUUGACCUCGGAUCAGGUAGGGAUACCCGCUGAACUUAAGCAUAUCAA